AUUUGAGGAGAGUGGAUCAACUUCAAAUCUCUACUAUUCUUUUGAAGUUGCUGGAACUCAUGUGAUUAUGCUUGGAUCGUACACUGAUUAUGACGAGUCGUCAGAUCAAUAUGCAUGGUUGAAGGCUGAUCUUGCAAAGGUGGACAGGGAAAGAACACCCUGGCUAGUAGUGCUAUUCCAUGUGCCAUGGUACAAUAGUAAUAAAGCUCAUCA
rnacentral:misc_RNA from 1 species